UCACAAAUCAAAAAUUUCAAAGGUCACAAAUCUUUGAUCGGUCACAAAAUCAAAAUUUUUAUUGGUGACAACUUAUAUAUCGAUCACAAAUAAAAAAUUUCAUAGGUCACAAUUCAUUAAUUGGUCACAAAAUCAAAAUUUUUAUUGAUCACAACUCAUUUGUAAGUAACAGAUUAUCAAAAUAAUUGGUCACAUUAAUUUUACAGUGACAACUUAGUAAAUUAGGCAUUGCAAUUACAUUUUUUAGGUCACAUGUUAUUUAUUUGACACAAAUUAACCAAUUUUUUUGUCACAAACACCCUCCAUGUCCCAUCCUAUCUCCCUCAACCCCCACACACACCACGACAACCACCACUGCAACCACCGUCAUCUCACCAGAUUGCAAAACCACCUCCACCUCCAUGGACACCACCACACACCACAUCAAAAUAAAAUUACAUCCACACCACCACCACACAGCAAACUCGCAACCAUCAUCGGAUCAUCCUCGUCGGAUCACCGGUGUCUUACGCAUCACAUGUGACCAUCACCACCCCACCACAAAACCACCUCAAAAAUAACAACAAAAAUAGCACAAACCUGACUUCACUGCCUCUUCGCCACUGAUGCCGCCACAACCACCUAAAAUCGACCAUCUCCUUCUCCUCUACCACACCACAUCCAUCAACACCAACUCAAAGAUGCAAACUAAAAUAGAGAAAACAGAUCGAUGCCUUGCAACAGAUGAAUCACCAUCGAAUGAAAACGAAAAUUAAACCCAAGAGAAAACAGUAACGACCAUCAGAGCUGGAGCCUGUCGUGUGCAGCUGCAGUACGCCCAAACCAGCAACGGUGCAGCCGAUCGUGUUCAGUUGCUGUCCGAGUCUGCCAUUGUGAGCGUUGUUGCACCGGUCGUGUGCAGCUGCCUACUGUCGAUCGUUUGCAGUUGCUAGACCUUUCUUCUAGUUGUCGUUGGAGACGCCGAAGAGAGGGAAGAGGAAGAUGAUGGUUGUGUGAUUUCACGAUUUGGGAAUUUGGGAUUUUUAGGGUUCGGCUAGUUAUUAUUUAGAGAGAGAAGAUUCGAGAAUAUCAUUAAUAUUAAAAAUUUAAAUUAGUAUCUGAUUUUUGUAUAGAUAAAUUAUGGAUCUUAUUUUUGAAUUUGAAUUUUUUAAACAUCUAGUGGGCUGUAAUUUCCUCAUUUUAUAUUCUAACAUGAU
rnacentral:lncRNA from 1 species